rnacentral:misc_RNA from 1 species
AACAUCGCGCACCUGCGGGAACCUGCGGAGGGAUCAUUACGGAGUUGCAAAACUCCCCAAACCAUUGUGAACGUUACCUAAACCGUUGCUUCGGCGGGCGGCCCGGGUCCUUCCCGGCGCCCCUCGGCCCUCGCGGGCGCCCGCCGGAGGUAAACCAAACUAUUGCAUUGUAUGGCCUCUCUGAGUCUUCUGUACUGAAUAAGUCAAAACUUUUAACAACGGAUCUCAGAUCGGAAGAGC